rnacentral:tRNA from 3 species
GGCGGUGUAGCUCAGCGGUUAGAGCACACGGUUCAUACCCGUGGAGUCACUGGUUCGAAUCCAGUCACCGCUACCA